rnacentral:sRNA from 1 species
ACACAGAACCUACGAAGCGAUUGUACGA